AUGGGCCAGCGUUAUGCGUGGGUCCAUGUGGCAGUCACGCCGUGUGUGCGUGUGUGUGUCCGGGUGAAAAAGCCAGACCAGGCCGAUUGUGGGCGAUGUGGGGCUGUCAGGCGGGUUGGUGGAUUGGCACUGGUCUACUCGCACCCUGCUUCUGUCUACCCAGCUGGGUCUCUUCCUCUUCAAGACCGUUGGUCCCACCCGUCUGUCUAUUGGGUAAGUGCUGUGCGAGGUCAUUCCUCAUCUCAUCUGACCACACUCAUGCCACAUAACCUGCUACAGCCGCGCGCUGUGUGUGGCGAGGGAUUACUUCUCCUGUGCAGUAAUACCCUUUUUGGAGUGUCCCAUGUUUGCAACUAUCCUUAUCUGCAGAGAAAAACAAAGGGACAAACAAAGUCCAGAUGCAAGGUGCAAGGCAGGAAAGGCGGUAGCAUGUGGCAGUGUCGGGGACCAGCGAGGAAGAUGCUGGUGUACAUCCUUUGGAAUAAAGUUGAAGUCUCUGAUAUAACGGUUCAGAAUAAAUAUCCAAUGAAGAUGAUGCGUGACGAACAGCAUGGUGAUGAUCCAUAA
rnacentral:rRNA from 1 species